UGGGGGUCUCAUUCUGUCAUCCAGGCUGGAGUGCAGGGGCACAAUCACAGCUUGUUGCAGGCUUGACCUUCCAGGCUCAAGUCAGGAUCUUCCCUCCUAGACCUCCUAAGUAGCUGGGACUACAGGAGUGCACCACCAUGCCUGGCUAAUUGUUUAUUUUCAUUUUUGUAGAGACAGGGUCUCACUACGUUACCCAAGCCAGUCUUGAAUUCCUGGGCUCAAGUGAUCCUCCCACCUUGGCCUCCCAAAGUGCUGGGAUUAGAGGUGUAAGCCACGGUGACUGGCCUAUAAAGUUAUUUUAAUCAUAGAUACUGUACCUUCCGAAGUAAUCUCUCAAUCAGCUGGCAAAAUUAAAAAUAGACAGCAGGAAUAAAUUCAUCUGUAAACCUUUUACCUAACCCAGACCUACAUUAUAAGAACUAAAUAGAACUGCCACCUUCCAUUCCUUUGUCCUUCUUUGGUUAUAACAAAAGAUGCAAAACAGAUAUUGAGACAGCCAGAAGGUAAUGAGGAAGGUUCUGGAGGAUUAGCAUCCCUGGCCAAAAUAAGCAGCCCGCAAGUAAAAUGGAUAUUCAGCCUCAGACUUGCAGCACCUCUGCCUCUCCUCUCAGGGUGAAAAAAGGAAACCCAGUUCUCCAGGAGGAUCCAAUACUCAAUGCCAUUGCUGAAAAGCCCAGGCGAACUCCAGCCCAGGUUGCCUUGUGCUACCAGCUGCAGCGCGGGGUGGUGGUCCUGGUGAAGAGCUUCAAUGAGAAGAGAAUCAAAGAAAACUUCCAGGUUUUUGACUUCUAGCUGACACCAGAGGACAUGAAAACCACAGAUGGCUUGAACAAGAAUAUAUGCCAUUUGUAAAUGUCUAUGUAAGUAGCUUGUUUCGUU
rnacentral:lncRNA from 1 species